AUGAUAAAGAAAACUUCCAGAAGAAGGGUUGUCAUCGCCAUCGCCGUCGCCCACCACGGUCUCGACGGGUUCCCCGUCGCCGCUGCAGGAGAACCUCUCAAGCAGCAAGCUCACAUGGCCUUCCACAGCUUUUGCCAGGACUGCGUGAGAUCCUUCAGGGACAGGGCCUAUCACCUCACCGAAGUUGAAGCCAGGAUCAUGGAGGAGGAGGUGGCUAAAGACAUGGGUCGCCGCCAUGGAGAAGACGUCACGACACUCCUCCUCCAGGAUACCGUCCACCUUCCGGGCCAUUUCCUCGACUUCGUCCACAAGCUUGGAGGAGAGCUCAGCGUAGCCAUUGCCGUGGCCGGCAAGAGGAGCCUCUAA
rnacentral:rRNA from 1 species